GACGAACGCUGGCGGCGUGCUUAACACAUGCAAGUCGAACGGAAAGGCCCUGCUUUUGUGGGGUGCUCGAGUGGCGAACGGGUGAGUAACACGUGAGUAACCUGCCCUUGACUUUGGGAUAACUUCAGGAAACUGGGGCUAAUACCGGAUAGGAGCUCCUGCUGCAUGGGGGGGGUUGGAAAGUUUCGGCGGUUGGGGAUGGACUAGCGGCUUAUCAGCUUGUUGGUGGGGUAGUGGCUUACCAAGGCUUUGACGGGUAGCCGGCCUGGGAGGGUGACCGGCGACAUUGGGACUGAGGUACGGCCCAGACGCCUACGUGCGGCAGCGGGGGGAAAUAUUGCACAGUGGGCGGGAGCCUGAUGCAGCAACGCCGCGUGCGGGAUGACGGCCUUCGGGUUGUAAACCGCUUUCGCCUGUGACGAAGCGUGAGUGACGGUAAUGGGUAAAGAAGCACCGGCUAACUACGUG
rnacentral:rRNA from 1 species